AAUCAACGCUGGCGGCGUGCCUCAGACAUGCAAGUCGAACGAUUAAGACUCCCUUCGGGGAGUGCAUAAAGUGGCGCACGGGUGAGUAACACGUAAGUAAUCUACCUUUGAGUGGGGAAUAACAACCGGAAACGGUUGCUAAUACCGCAUAAUGCAGCGGCACCGCAAGGUGACAGUUGUUAAAGAUUUAUCGCUUAAAGAGGAGCUUGCGGCAGAUUAGCUAGUUGGUAAGGUAAUGGCUUACCAAGGCUACGAUCUGUAACCGGUCUAAGAGGACGGUCGGUCACACUGACACUGAAUAACGGGUCAGACUCCUACGGGAGGCAGCAGUCGGGAAUUUUGGGCAAUGGGCGAAAGCUUGACCCAGCAACGCCGCGUGAAGGAUGAAGUAUUUCGGUAUGUAAACUUCGAAAGAAUGGGAAGAAUAAAUGACGGUACCAUUUAUAAGGUCCGGCUAACUACGUGCCAGCCGCCGCGGUAACAC
rnacentral:rRNA from 1 species